rnacentral:rRNA from 1 species
UACGUAGGGGGCAAGCGUUGUCCGGAUUUACUGGGCGUAAAGAGCGUGUAGGCGGCCAGACCGGUCCGUUGUGAAAACUGGAGGCUCAACCUUCAGACGUCGACGGAAACCGUUUGGCUAGAGUCCGGAAGAGGAGAGUGGAAUUCCUGGUGUAGCGGUGAAAUGCGCAGAUAUCAGGAAGAACACCGAUGGCGAAGGCAGCUCUCUGGGACGGUACUGACGCUGAGACGCGAAAGCGUGGGGAGCGAACAGG